rfam:Candidatus Brocadia sinica JPN1 DNA, contig: brosiA.
UACGAUAAGGGCAAACCCUGAGUAAUCAGGGGACGCAAAGUAAAGGGUCUUUCAACGUACAAGGAUGUAGUUAAAGACGCGCCUUAUCCUUUAGCGAAAAAGAUAGCCUUACUGCCGAAG